rnacentral:rRNA from 1 species
GACGAACGCUGGCGGCGUGCUUAACACAUGCAAGUCGAACGGAAAGGCCCUGCUUUUGUGGGGUGCUCGAGUGGCGAACGGGUGAGUAACACGUGAGUAACCUGCCCUUGACUUUGGGAUAACUUCAGGAAACUGGGGCUAAUACCGGAUAGGAGCUCCUGCUGCAUGGUGGGGGUUGGAAAGUUUCGGCGGUUGGGGAUGGACUCGCGGCUUAUCAGCUUGUUGGUGGGGUAGUGGCUUACCAAGGCUUUGACGGGUAGCCGGCCUGGGAGGGUGACCGGCCACAUUGGGACUGAGAUACGGCCCAGACUCCUACGGGAGGCAGUAGUGGGGAAUAUUGCACAAUGGGCGGAAGCCUGAUGCAGCAACGCCGCGUGCGGGAUGACGGCCUUCGGGUUGUAAACCGCUUUCGCCUGUGACGAAGCGUGAGUGACGGUAAUGGGUAAAGAAGCACCGGCUAACUACGUG